CCUGGGAAAGCAGCACUGUUUCUGCUAUAAAAGUCACGUAGCUCAUCUUUGUAUCCCUCCUAACCUCAGCAAGGAUGACCGGCAAGGAUGACAGACAAUUUACUGUACCUUCUGUUGUGUCAGACAACGCUGAUUUGCUCCAAAGGAACACAACCGAAGAAACCAGCCAGGAAGACUUUAAAGCAAUUCCAAAAGGGAAUUUUUGUCGUAUGUUCAGAUGCUCACGUGAACAGCAGAGACCAGCUUCGGAGGCACAGCGUGGGGUAAAAGCAUUAGAUAUGCAGAGUGACUCACACAAGAAAGGCUCAAUCUCAGAAACUGUACCCCUCAUGAGUUCAGUAGCUGGUACGCCGUCUAUUAGUGAUGAAUCAAAUCACAGUGAUACUCCUUCAUCUGAGGACUAAAAUGAAAAGUAAUGAUCUUAGUGAAAUGAUAUAAUCUUAGUGAAAAAUGAAAACAAAUAUAUCUAAUAAAACAAAUAUAUCUAAUAAAAUAUAAACUUAC
ensembl:lncRNA